rnacentral:rRNA from 1 species
UACGAAGGGGGCUAGCGUUGCUCGGAAUCACUGGGCGUAAAGGGCGCGUAGGCGGAUCUUUAAGUCGGGGGUGAAAGCCUGAGGCUCAACCUCAGAAUUGCCUUCGAUACUGGAGAUCUUGAGACCGGAAGAGGUAAGUGGAACUGCGAGUGUAGAGGUGAAAUUCGUAGAUAUUCGCAAGAACACCAGUGGCGAAGGCGGCUACCUGGCCGUCGAUUGACGCUCAUGUGCGAAAGCGUGGGGAGCAAACAGGG